ACAGGGUCGUUGCCAGACCUCGGCCCACUAAGGACACAGAUGGUGAUGCACAGCCUGGCUUGUCCUGUAGAAACAGUUAGACGUCUGUCCGUCCGACAUGACACACUGAGAGGGGGCUUGUGGUGGAGGAGAACGGAGUGAACGGAGAGGGGGACACGGAGGAUGUCCCUGUAGACGAGAACCUGUUCACUGGAGAUUAUCUGGACGAGGAGGAGCUCGACACGCUUGAUCUGGACCAAUAAGACAAGGGCUGAAUUUAACUGAAUCGGCUCGUUUUUUUUAAUUGAAUCAACUUAUUUGUGUUGAAUUGUCUCUUGAGUUUGGGCGGCUCAUUCCAUGGACAAAAGGCUUAAAAGUGAAUGAUGAUGUUGCACAAUUGACAAUAACAACCUCGCCCUGGGAAUCUCACAGCGCUCUUUGUUCCUCGGCCAUGUCAUCCAAAAGACAAAGAUCCUUUCCCCAGCAGAACAAUCAGAGGACUAAAUGUUGACAACUUUACAAAUUCUUGUUUUCCUCCUUUUAAAAAAAAAUGCAUGUUUUAUUUUAAAAUGCGUCUGACUGUCUGCCACCCAGUUAAUAACAGGAGAUUAUCAUUCUUAUUUGAUGUGCUGAUCUGCCCUGUCUUUUCCUUCAUACGGCUUUAAUUUAAACCUGAUCAGAAGUCAGUGGGAAUGUUUUCUAAAUGACAUAUUUAUUGGGUUGGUUAUAUUGAUUUCGAGUAUAUUUAUUUAUUUUUAUUCAUGUAAAACAAGGUAUUUUACUCCUUGUCAUUUUGAUUCACUGUUCAUAAGUUGUAAUCACGGCCUAAAUAGUUAGACUAAGUGUUUUAUAAAUACUGGCUUUUCUGACUGCUUCAUUUAAAUGUAUAUCGGUAGCACUAUUCAUCUGGAAUUAUUCGGUAAAUACUGAACUUCCUCCCCCUUUUAAAUACAAAGAAAGGUUACAGAGAUAUCAUUGGGACUUCACACAUUUAUUAUGUUUCAAUGAAUUUGCAUUCCUGUAGCAGGAUAGUGAUGUAUAGUGUGUGUGUGUGUGUGUGUGUGUGUGUGUGUGUGUGUGUGGUGAAUGAAUAUGUAGACGAUUCUAGAAGACAUAGUGAAAGACAGACAGGGGAACGGGUAAACCGGGUUCUAGAAGACAGUGAAAGACAGACAGGGGAACGGGUAAAACGGGUUCUAGAAGACAGUGAAAGACAGACAGGGGAACGGGUAAAACGGGUUCUAGAAGACAGUGAAAGACAGACAGGGGAACGGGUAAAACGGGUUCUAGAAGACAGUGAAAGACAGACAGGGGAACGGGUAAAACGGGUUCUAGAAGACAGUGAAAUACAG